rnacentral:rRNA from 1 species
UUUCGCCUACGGGGCGCAGCAGUGGGGAAUAUUGGGCAAUGGGCGCAAGCCUGACCCAGCAAUGCCGCGUGAAGGAAGAAGGCCCUCGGGUUGUAAACUUCUUUUAUCAGGGACGAAGGAUGUGACGGUACCUGAUGAAUAAGCUCCGGCUAACUACGUGCCAGCAGCCGCGGUAAUACGUAGGGAGCAAGCGUUAUCCGGAUUUACUGGGUGUAAAGGGCGCGUAGGCGGGAUGGCACGUCAGAUGUGACAUCCGGGGGCUCAACCCCUGGACUGCAUUUGAAACUGUCGUUCUUGAGUACUGG